ACAUGCAUACAACAUAACAUUAAUGCACCGGAUCCCAUUAGAACUCCGCAGUUAAGCACACUCAAGCUAGGGUAGUACUAGGAUGGGUGACCGCCCGAGAAGUCCUAGUAUUUUACAUGCC
rnacentral:rRNA from 1 species